GCAAACUUGGUCAUUUAGAGGAAGUAAAAGUCGUAACAAGGUCUCCGUUGGUGAACCAGCGGAGGGAUCAUUACAGAGUUACUAUAAACUCCCAACCCUUUGUGAACCUUACCGCCGUUGCCUCGGCGGCUAGCAGCGCGUCUUAAUCCGGGGAGGGGCUACCCUGGAAUCAUCUACCCUGUAGGUGAUUGCCCUGGAGCUGCCCCGGAGCUACCUUGUAGUUUACGCCUGCGCCGUCAGAGGACCAUUAAAAAUUCUCGCGUUACUUGACUCUGAAGAAUCGAAACAAAAAAAAAUUUGUUAAAACUUUCAACAACGGAUCUCUUGGUUCUGGCAUCGAUGAAGAACGCAGC
rnacentral:misc_RNA from 1 species